rnacentral:rRNA from 1 species
GACGAACGCUGGCGGCGUGCUUAACACAUGCAAGUCGAACGGAAAGGCCCUGCUUUUGUGGGGUGCUCGAGUGGCGAACGGGUGAGUAACACGUGAGUAACCUGCCCUUGACUUUGGGAUAACUUCAGGAAACUGGGGCUAAUACUGGAUAGGAGCUCCUGCUGCAUGGUGGGGGUUGGAAAGUUUCGGCGGUUGGGGAUGGACUCGCGGCUUAUCAGCUUGUUGGUGGGGUAGUGGCUUACCAAGGCUUUGACGGGUAGCCGGCCUGAGAGGGUGACCGGCCACAUUGGGACUGAGAUACGGCCCAGACUCCUACGGGAGGCAGCAGUGGGGAAUAUUGCACAAUGGGCGGAAGCCUGAUGCAGCAACGCCGCGUGCGGGAUGACGGCCUUCGGGUUGUAAACCGCUUUCGCCUGUGACGAAGCGUGAGUGACGGUAAUGGGUAAAGAAGCACCGGCUAACUACGUGCCAGCAGCCGCGGUGAUACGUAGGGUGCGAGCGUUGUCCGGAUUUAUUGGGCGUAAAGGGCUCGUAGGUGGUUGAUCGCGUCGGAAGUGUAAUCUUGGGGCUUAACCCUGAGCGUGCUUUCGAUACGGGUUGACUUGAGGAAGGUAGGGGAGAAUGGAAUUCCUGGUGGAGCGGUGGAAUGCGCAGAUAUCAGGAGGAACACCAGUGGCGAAGGCGGUUCUCUGGGCCUUUCCUGACGCUGAGGAGCGAAAGCGUGGGGAGCGAACAGGCUUAGAUACCCUGGUAGUCCACGCUGUAAACGGUGGGUACUAGGUGUGGGGUCCAUUCCACGGGUUCCGUGCCGUAGCUAACGCUUUAAGUACCCCGCCUGGGGAGUACGGCCGCAAGGCUAAAACUCAAAGGAAUUGACGGGGCCCCGCACAAGCGGCGGAGCAUGCGGAUUAAUUCGAUGCAACGCGUAGAACCUUACCUGGGUUUGACAUGGAUCGGGAGCGCUCAGAGAUGGGUGUGCCUCUUUUGGGGUCGGUUCACAGGUGGUGCAUGGCUGUCGUCAGCUCGUGUCGUGAGAUGUUGGGUUAAGUCCCGCAACGAGCGCAACCCUUGUUCACUGUUGCCAGCACGUUAUGGUGGGGACUCAGUGGAGACCGCCGGGGUCAACUCGGAGGAAGGUGGGGAUGACGUCAAGUCAUCAUGCCCCUUAUGUCCAGGGCUUCACGCAUGCUACAAUGGCUGGUACAGAGAGUGGCGAGCCUGUGAGGGUGAGCGAAUCUCGGAAAGCCGGUCUCAGUUCGGAUUGGGGUCUGCAACUCGACCUCAUGAAGUCGGAGUCGCUAGUAAUCGCAGAUCAGCAACGCUGCGGUGAAUACGUUCCCGGG